rnacentral:tRNA from 1 species
GGACCCAUAGCUCAACUGGAUAGAGCAGCGACCUUCUAAGUCGCAGGUUGCCGGAUCGUGCCCGGCUGGGUUCUCCA